rnacentral:rRNA from 1 species
UACGUAGGGUGCGAGCGUUGUCCGGAAUUAUUGGGCGUAAAGAGCUCGUAGGCGGUCUGUCGCGUCGGUCGUGAAAACCUGCAGCUUAACUGUGGGCGUGCGGUCGAUACGGGCAUGACUGGAGUUCGGCAGGGGAGACUGGAAUUCCUGGUGUAGCGGUGAAAUGCGCAGAUAUCGGGAGGAACACCAGUGGCGAAAAGCGGCUCUCUGGUCCAAAACUGACGCUGAGGGGCGAAAGCGUGGGGAGCGAACGGG